CUCAGUAGGGCAGUGGGCGGGGUCUCAUUGAGCCCGGAAGGCAGUAGGAGGCUGGACGCCCGGCAUGCGGGUGCGGGAGCCCGGUGGGCGCGGUCGCGAGAGCUGCUGACUACGUCGUGGGAUCGGGAGCCGGUGGCGGCGCGCGGAGCAGACUGUUGCUAACCAUGGCGUCUGGAGAUGACAGUCCUAUCUUUGAAGAUGAUGAAAGCCCUCUCUAUAGUCUGGAAAAAAUGACAGAUCUCGUAGCUGUUUGGGACGUAGCAUUAAGUGACGGAGUCCACAAGAUUGAAUUUGAGCAUGGGACCACGUCAGGCAAACGAGUUGUGUACGUGGAUGGGAAGGAAGAGAUAAGAAGAGAGUGGAUGUUCAAAUUGGUGGGCAAAGAAACGUUCUGUGUCGGAGCUGCAAAAACCAAAGCCACGAUAAAUAUAGAUGCCAUAAGUGGCUUCGCAUAUGAGUACACGCUGGAAAUCGACGGGAAGAGCCUCAAGAAGUACCUGGAGAACAGAUCGAAGACCACCAACACCUGGGUGCUGCACUUGGAUGGCGAGGAACUAAGAGUUGUUUUGGAAAAAGACACCAUGGACGUAUGGUGCAAUGGUCAGAAAAUGGAGACAGCGGGCGAGUUUGUAGAUGACGGGACUGAGACACACUUCAGCGUUGGGAACCAUGGCUGUUACAUAAAAGCCGUCAGCAGUGGGAAGAGGAGAGAAGGGCUCAUCCACACGCUGGUUGUGGAUAACAGGGAAAUCCCAGAGCUCACUCAGUGACGCCUUCUUCGUGAGUUCGGAGCUGAAGAAGUGACCUGAGAACUCGCCGAUGGCUGUGGUUGAUGAAGUACAGGAGCACAAGGAACAUUUCAUUGAAGAUAUAGGAUCAAGUCGCCAGCAAGACUUAAUUAAAAGUUCAAUUGAUGUAACCUCUGGGGCAGAUGAUCAGCCUGAAAAAGAAAGGCAUCUGCUUAGGAAAAGCAACUGUAUAUAAUAGUGUAAAAUUUACAUCUGAUAACGAAAAUUAGAAAUAUGUUUUCAAGUGUCAACAGUAGGCCAGACAGAGUGCCUUUGACUAGGGUCUGCACUUAUUGCUGCUGCCCGCAGAAGACACCCCACCCUCACCCCCACUCCCAUCCCCCCACCCCCAUCCCAACCUCCCAUCGCCAUUCUGCCUGUGACCUGCAGUGUGCUUUCCCUACCUAGUUCUGUGCUGAUACUCCUGCUCUAGAGGAGUAACAGAGCACUCGCCACCAUCCACCUGCAUCAAGUCGGCUACGGUAAGAAGGUCCAGUGUACUGCAAACUAUCACCUUUCUGAUGUCUGAACUUGAAGGUAUGGAGAUUGGGCACGUUACCACCAGGUCCACAGAGAGGAAACUGCAGCCUGACGAUCAUAAGGAGUCUUCCUGUCCUCCUGACCAUCAGCGAGAGCUGCACUACUUCCCAGCCCUCCUCCUGACCAUC